GAUGAACGCUGGCGGCGUGCCUAAUACAUGCAAGUCGAGCGAACGGACUAGAAUCUUUCUUCUCUGAUGUUAGCGGCUGACGGGUGAGUAACACGUGGAUAACCUACGUAUAAGACUGGUGUAACUUCGGGAAACCGGAGCGAAUACCGGAUAAUAUUUUGAACCGCAUGGUUCAGAAGUGAAAUACGGUCUUGCUGUCACUUAUAGAUGUAUCAGCGCUGCAUUAGCUAGUUGGUAAGGUAACGGCUUACCAAGGCAACGAUGGAUAGCCGCCAUGAGAGGGUGAACGGCCAACCUGGCACUGAGACACGGCCCAGACUCCUACGGGAGGCCGCAGUAGGGAAUCUUCCGCGAUGCGGCAAAGCCUGACAGAGCACCGCCGGGUGAGUGCAGAAGCUCCUCCGAUCGUAAAACUCUGUUAUUAGGGAAGAACAAAUGUGUAAGUAACUGUGCACAUAUUGACGGUACCUAAUCAGAAAGCCACGGCUAACUACGUG
rnacentral:rRNA from 1 species